rnacentral:snRNA from 1 species
AGAUGUGAGGGUAUUACAACAUCUGUCACCCCAUUGAUUUCUAGGGUUGAUUCUGCUGAUCUGGCUGGCUAGGUGGGUGUCCCCUUCCUUUCUCAUUGCUCCAUGUGUGUUCCUCCCAAAGCUAUGUACUUGGUAGAAGACAACCAUCCCCACUAGAGAAGGAUCCGUUCUUUGGUCAAGGGUAUACAAGUAACUGUGCUCCCCUGCUAGAAUCUUUCAAGGUAAUUUAGGGGUCACAAACUCACAUACCUUUGAGGCCAGCAAGGUGGCAUAAGUGAGAGAUAUAGAACCAGUGUAAGAAAAUAGUGAAUAGUGACAACUGUUU